rnacentral:rRNA from 1 species
GACGAACGCUGGCGGCGUGCUUAACACAUGCAAGUCGAACGGAAAGGCCUCUUUCGGGGGGUACUCGAGUGGCGAACGGGUGAGUAACACGUGAGUAACCUGCCCUUGACUUUGGGAUAACUUCAGGAAACUGGGGCUAAUACCGGCUAGGAGCUCCUGCUGCAUGGUGGGGGUUGGAAAGUUUCGGCGGUUGGGGAUGGACUCGCGGCUUAUCAGCUUGUUGGUGGGGUAGUGGCUUACCAAGGCUUUGCCGGGUAGCCGGCCUGAGAGGGUGACCGGCGACAUUGGGACUGAGAUACGGCCCAGACGCCUACGGGAGGCAGCAGUGGGGAAUAUUGCACAAUGGGUGGAAGCCUGAUGCAGCAGCGCCGUGUGCGGGAUGACCGCCUUGGGGUGGUAAACCGCGGUCGCUCAUGACGAAGCUUUGUGUGACGGUAGUGGGUAAAGAAGCACCGGCUAACUACGUG